CCUAAGGACUCCUCUCCACCACCACCACCACCUCCCAAGAACUCCUCUUCUCCUCCACCACCUCCAAAGGACUCCUCUCCUCCUCCACCCCCCACUAAGGACUCCUCUCCUCCACCACCUUCAACAUAUUAUAAGAACCCACCACCCCCACCACCCUCAAAGGACUCCUCUCCUCCACCUCCUUCACAUUACUAUAAGUCCCCACCACCCCCACCACCCUUCAAGGAAUCAUCUCCGCCACCUCCACCACGAGAUUACCAGUCACCACCACCCCCACCCCAUCAUGAACUAUAUCCACCACCUCCAUCACCAUACUAUAAGAGGCCACCUCCACCACCACACUACCCAUACCAUUCUCCACCACCCCCAGUUUACCACAAGUCACCUCCACCUCCAUACUAUCACAGUCCACCUCCCCCUCGUCGUCGUCACCACGACUAAAAUGUUAUUUGGAAAUGAAGAACGUGUCCAAACAAAGGAGAUCGAAGGACUUCAAGAACCACCAUCUACUGAAGAAUGGAACACGUUUUAUGAAGCUAGCAUUGAUUUGGUUUCACUUUCUUUAUAUAUUUAAGUAUUUAUCUUUUUAUAUAUUUCAAAAUUUAAGGGACAGUUCAAAUCUGAUCCAUGUCUACUCCUUCUCCUGCAUGCGUUGCGGUUUUCUAACUGCUGCCAAUGCACUAUGUUGUAUUAUGCCAACUUAUAUUAUAUAUAUAAUAAAUAAAUACCCUAAGUUUA